rnacentral:rRNA from 1 species
UACGUAGGGUGCGAGCGUUAAUCGGAAUUACUGGGCGUAAAGCGUGCGCAGGCGGUUAUGUAAGACAGGUGUGAAAUCCCCGGGCUUAACCUGGGAACUGCAUUUGUGACUGCAAGGCUGGAGUACGGCAGAGGGGGAUGGAAUUCCGCGUGUAGCAGUGAAAUGCGUAGAUAUGCGGAGGAACACCGAUGGCGAAGGCAAUCCCCUGGACCUGUACUGACGCUCAUGCACGAAAGCGUGGGGAGCGAACAGG